rnacentral:misc_RNA from 1 species
UUAUUUUUUUUUAAAUAAUCAAGCCUUAAACUGAUUUGGUUCUGUUCAUUUUUGCUUUUCUCCUUAUUUGGAUUGGGCUGGGAUCCUAUUGUGUCUGGUUCCUGUUCUAAGCAAUUCAAUCUUAGGUACCUACAAGUUCUCCAAAUGAACUAUAAUGGUUGAUGCAAAAAAGAACAAUAGAUUUUAAUUCAUGAUAUGUAGAAAUUGGAAUAUUACUCCAAUAAUCAAUUAUACAGUUUAAUAAAGAAUAAGGGAAAUCAUAAUGCUAAGAUAAGUGCUACAACAAUUUUGGGUGAGAAAUCUCAAAGAGCAAAAUCUGCACGUGCACCAUCAAAAAGAACUUGUGUGCGUUAUGAUAACAAAACCACUUUUAUGCAACCAACAAAAAAUAACCAGCCUUUUAAUUAGGUGCCCUAAAUCUAUUCAAAAUAGGCCAAAUUUUCAACUGAAUAAAUGACAAUUCAAUCAUUUAACUUACUCCAUUGUUAGUUUUUGAUGAAUUUUUCCUGUCGUAAAUUUGCACCAUCGGGUUGCCAUAGGUUUGCACUAAUAUAAUCGAGCACAUAAAGCAGAAUGGUGACAAAAUUCAAUUGAAAAAAAAGCUCAGAGUAAUUGAAGCUUAUCAUGACAAGUACCUGAAAAUUUGCCCCGAGACAUUUUGGGAUUUGAAUCAGAGUAAUAAUUGAGUCGCAGAGGAUCAAAUUUUCAUUUUGGG